GACAGAGGUUGCAAACGUUGUUCGGAAUUACUGGGCAUAAAGCGCACGUAGGCGGUCCGUUAAGUCAUGUGUGAAAUCCCCCGGCUCAACCGGGGAAUUGCGCCUGAUGACUGGCGGGCUAGAGAUCGAUAGGGGUGAGUGGAACUCCAGGUGGAGCGGUGAAAUGCGUAGAUAUCUGGAGGAACACCGGUGGCGAAAGCGGCUCACUGGAUCGAUACUGACGCUGAGGUGCGAAAGCUAGGGUAGCAAACGGGG
rnacentral:rRNA from 1 species